rnacentral:misc_RNA from 1 species
UGAAUCCAUUCGACCAUCAUAUGAGUUUGAAUUGCCCCCAGAAGCACCAUAGCCCUGAUAGCCACCACCAGCACCACCACCACUGGCACCACCACCCAUAGAACGGCUUCCCCCACCAGGAUUAGCAUCUUUAGGAAGAGCCCGCUUUACUUCAACUUGCUUACCAUUCAAAUCGUGAAAAGUUUUGUGCAAGACCUGGUCAACAGCAUCCUCACUGUCAAAGGAAAUAAAUCCAAAUCCACGAGGCCGUUGGGUGUUUUGGUCAUACAUUAUUACUACAUCAGUAACAUGGCCAAAAGCUUCAAAAUACUGACGGAAUCCGUCCUCAGUCAGAGUGGGAGGUAAUCCUCCAACAAAAAUCUUUUUGGUCCUGAUAUUUCCGCUGUUGCCAGUGUUUCUAGCAGGAUUCAGGUUUCCAGCCCUGACACUUGUUUGUUGCUCCUCUCUUGACAAAGCUUUCUUUGCCUCAACCGUUCUACCGUCGAUGGUAUGCUUAUCUUGAAGAACCCUAUCGAGGAUGGAAGGAUCUGCGAAAACGACAAAGCCAAAGCCUCUGGGUCUGCCAGUGGUCUUGUCUCGCAUUACCACAGUCUGUAAAACGUCGCCAUAUUGAGAGAAGUAGUCGUUAAGCUUCUCCUCGGUUGUCUCCCACGAAAUCCCACCAAUAAAUAG